GACAGAGGGUGCAAACGUUGUUCGGAAUUACUGGGCGUAAAGCGAGUGUAGGCGGCCGCGCAAGUCUGGCGUGAAAGCCCCGGGCUCAGCCCGGGAAGGGCGCUCGAAACGGCGCGGCUCGAGUGCCGGAGGGGAGAGUGGAAUUCCUGGUGUAGCGGUGAAAUGCGUAGAUAUCGGUAGGAACACCAGUGGCGAAGGCGGUCUCCUGGGGUUAUCUUGACGCUGAUGCGCGAAAGCUGGGGGAGCGAACGGG
rnacentral:rRNA from 1 species